AAACACAACAAUAGGGUUAGGGUGGCAUAUCAAGAAAAACAAACAGGGAAGGGGAGGAGGCGGGACCACAAAGUUCAUGGGGGACAGACCAGGGUGGGUGGGUGGGGUAGGAGUCUUAGGAGGACGGGACGAAGGCUGACAACGAGGGGUUCGGGCAGGUCUGGGUGGUCUAGGGUGGGGAGUGGUCUCAGGACCAUUUACAACAGAGGACAUGACAGGAGAACUCACGUGACACGGGGAAACACCUACGGGACACGGGGAAACAUCAACAGGACACAUGACAACAUCAGCUGGACAUGGGGCAACGCUCACGGGACACGGGGCAACGUUCACAGGACACGGGGCAAGAUCAGGGGAGACAGAAACUGGACACAUGACAACAUCAGCUGGACAUGGGGCAACGCUCACGGGACACGGGGCAACGUUCACAGGACACGGGGCAAGAUCAGGGGAGACAGAAACUGGGUCAGGAGUAGCACUAACUGUGGUUGGCUCGGGAUCUCUGGGGACAGGGUCAGGGGACAAGACAGGACUGGCGGGGAUUUCCAGGAUCUGGACAAGACGGGACAAAUAAUCAGACAAGGCUUUGGCGGCUAUAAUAACCGGCAUCUCCUUACGAGACGAGACAGACUGUAUCAAAGUUUCUGCUGCAGAGUCGGCCGCGGCUCUCUCCUCCGCCCUCACGACAGCAGACUUGAAACCUGUUCUCUUAUUCACUGGCUCGGGCACGCCAGCGCUCUCCGCUGCUGGCUCGGGCACGCCAGCGCUCUCCGCUGCUCGCUCGGGCACGCCAGCGCUCUCCGCUGCUCGCUCGGGCACGCCAGCGCUCUCCGCUGCUCGCUCGGGCACGCCAGCGCUCUCCGCUGCUCGCUCGGGCACGCCAGCGCUCUCCGCUGCUGGCUCAGGAGGAGACAGGGUCACAGGACCGGCAGGCCCCUUCUUCCUCUUCCUCCUUGGCCGCGGUGCAGAGGUCACAGCUGGAACCGAGACGGGUUGGGGGAGUUUGGCCUCAGGCAGGGCAGACUCUGACGCCGACGACUCUGAAGCUGACUCCCACGACAAUCGUCUCCCUCGCUUUCUGGGGAGACUGUUGGCUGUGGAAGGCGCCUCAGGACUCUGGGGGGAAUCUGCCUGUUCCCCCAGUGUUGUGACGGCCAGGAGACCACCCUCUGGGAUCACUGGCAGCUGGGUUGAUGGUGGGGACCUCUGGGGGGAGGCCUGCAGCUCCUCCUGGGAGAACUUCUCCCACAGCCGGGCAUAAUUGUGAAGGAUCCACUCACCCUCGGGAGAGUAUGGGAGGGUGAUCCCCUUCCUGUCAGUGGGGGAUGACUUCCAGCAUUGCUGGCGGAACUCCCACUGGUGUAGUGGGCUGGAGGACCUUCUGUCUGCUGAGGUCUUUGGUCGGUUCAUUCUGUUAUGGGUUGGUAAGGGAGGAACUCAAGUGCAGACAGGAUUCUCAACACAAAGGGUUUAUUGAUGACAAAAGGGGAAAACAAAACCCACGAGGGGGAAAACAAUAGCUAGGGUAAGGACUAAAUAACCAAACAAGACAGGGCUGACCAGAUAAAGACACUAAACACUAACUAUAAACAAACACUCACGGUAUUACAAAGACUUCUUCAGGAAUGACAAGGAUAAACUCACGAGGCUGACAGGUAGCAACAUAUAUGAGGAACAGUUUGAGGAAACAAUCACAAUGAACCGACCAAAAACAGAGCACACUAGGAGAUCUAAAUAGGGGAACUAAUCAAGACACGACAGGUGGCACAGAUAGGACAAUCACGACAAGACUAGGAUAACAAGGGGGGCGGGGCAAGGGAACGAGACAACACAAGCACAUGGCCCAAAGAUAAGGCCAUGUGCUUGUACACAAAACACGGGUCUGUCAUGAUCCUGCCUCUAGACUAGAGAAAAGUCAGGACAUGAUGGCAGGACCAUGACAAUAACAGCUUAAAACCUGUAUUAAACAAUUAUAUUACCUUAUUAUCCUGGCAGUACUUUUGAAAAACAACACUUAAACACACAUACACACACACAAACACACACACACACACACACACACACACACACACACACACACACACACACACACACAUAUAUAUAUAUAUAUAUAUAUAUAUAUAUAUAUAUAUAUAUAUAUAUAUAUAUAUAUAUAUAUAUUAUUGUGGCACUUUUGAAGAAAAACAAUAAAAUCCAAAUUAUUUAUUUAUUUAUUUAUUAUUUAUUUUGAAGAAAAUAUAAAAUUUUUGUAGUAUAUUUGAAGAAAUUUUUUUUUUUAAUUUUUGAUCUUCAUUGAUUCUUGUAGUGCUUCUGAAAAUAUAUAUAUAUAUAUAUAUAUAUAUAUAUAUAUAUAUAUAUAUAUAUAUAUAUAUAUAUAUUAUUUUUCUAUCUUAUUUAUUCCUGUAGUGCUUUUAAUGAAAACUCAUACUAUUUUUUAUUGUAUUGUAUUGUUUUAUUUAUUUAAUUUUUCUGUGUGUUCAAUAACACUGCAAAUAAUAUUCAGUGCAAUCAGUAUUUUUAAAUAUAUUUUUUCCCCCCAAUGAAAUAGUACCUUUAAAACACAACCUAAAAACAAGAUGAAUUUACUCAAGAUGCAAAAUCAUUCAUGAAUUAGACUAGUCUCAUUCUAUAUUUGGCCUUGUCAAAAAUGCACUUGAAAGUGAUGAAAAUAAUUAAUUUCCAGUGUCUUCUACAGACAAAGUGUGUCAUUUCUGCACCAUUAGGGCCACUAAAAGAAUUAGCAAAACAAUGACUAAUUUCAAACAGGUUUCCUGGACACACCCCUCCCCCAUCUGCAAUUGGCUGGUUAAACAGAUGGCCCCACUCCAAACUUAUUACUGACUCGACAUAUUAAACUGGGAUAGGAGAAAAUGUUUUAACAUCAAAAAAAUGACACACUUUUUCACUCAAAUGAGGAUUUCCAGCUCUAACCCCAAAAGUGCCAUCAGGAAGACCGCCAUGACAACUUCCUGUCCGGAGAGAGAGGAAAAAGUGGUCACGGAGAGGGAGUUAGUGAAAGAAAUAGAGACGAGAGAAAGAAAGAAAGAGGAAGAAAGACACUGAAAGAAAGAGCGGCUGUGGCUGACGAGCGAAAUGCAGAGAGAGGGAGACAUAAAUCCUGUGUCCUAUAUAAAAAGAAAUACUAUCCAUGUCAAGGAAAGGUGGGAUGCCCUAAAAUGAAUGAUAACAGACUCAUUAAAAAUAACGGCCACCUAAAUGAUAAAUGACCUGCCUCCUGAGAAGAGCAGCGCAAGGCGGCCUCUACAAAUUAAGACCGCAGUGCUGUUAAAGGUGUUAUUUUCCCAGUACUUCCAGCACCAAAAUAUCAAGCAGCCACACCAUUAUUUGCUCUUUAUUACUGCCCAGCGACAGGACCUUUGGAGAUUUAAGGCGAGCCUGUACAUUAUCAGCCUCUGUUAUUUUGUUAAUUAUCCUGAUUCGUGAUUUAUGACAUGGUACGGCUUAAUUAAAAAGUGAAAUUGCAUCAAAUUAUAGGGGUUUUAUAGGGACUGGGGCCAGAGCAAGCAUUUGCAAGUGAUGCUUUUAUAUAAAGGAGUAUUCAGUGCAUUGUAGGAGAGAAUCAUCGGAGAUUAAGGUUGACUAUGCUGUGUAUCACAGGUGAAAGUAAAAAGUAUAAGGAAAGAAGACAAUUCAAGUCAGAGUUAUCUUGGUAUGAGAUCUGAUUAUAUUUUUGGUAAUAUUUUGAAUAUUCUGAAUUUGAUUUCCAUUUUCAAAGUUUUAGAAAUUUUGUUUGUCAUUUGGUAAUUUUUAGUAUAUAGUUUUUAUUAAUUUUUAUUUCAGUUUUAGUUAUUUUAGAAUUUAGAAAUGUUGCCUUGGCAACUAGCCAAAAUAUGUAUUUUUUUUUUUUUAAAUAUUUAAUUUAAUUUAAGUUAACAUUUGUUUUAUUUCAAGUAAUGCAAAAAUGUAAUGUUUUAAUUUCAGUUUCAGUUGUACUUUGCAUUUUUGAAAAGUUUUGCGAAACAACAUUCCAACACACAGAUCCGCCAAAAAAGGCUAAAAAUGCUUUACUAUGCAUUUCAGGUCAGUAGGUGGCAAUGUCAAUUUAUAAAGAAACACUAAACACCUGCACACAUACCUAUAAACUGAACACGUAAUGCAUGUGCAUGACGUCACUGGUUUCGCAAAUUUAUUUAUUUAUUUAUUUUUGAAGUUUACACAUAGACGAUAAUGGUAUUGCUUUCAAAAAAUUGCACUUUGAAACAGGUUUUUAAAUGCUUUUUCAGGCCCCCAAAACGCCAUUGUUUUGUAAAUGCACGUCCAAAACACAUAAAACAUUUUCAGUUUUUAGUUGAAAAUGGUGUCAUGUAAACACCCUCUUAGUUACCUAUAGUAACCCUGUAUAGCAUACGGAGUGAAAAGUGUUAAAUUGUUAAUUUACCCACAAAAGUCAUUAAUUUAUUCAUCUAUAUGUGGUUCUAAACUUGUUUGAUUUAUGUGUUGACAUGAAAAAAAAAAAAAAAGACUAAAACUUAAUAAAAGUAGUUCAUAUGAAUUGUGUAUGACUUUCCAAGGGGUUCUGCUUUGUGUGAGGAAACAACCAACAUGUGCUUGGUAUGUCAAACCUGGCACGCAGAGUAAAUGGGAUUUGGAAGAGGGGAGUGUUUUAUUAUACAUUAUUUUGGAUUUUUCUCAUUCUAACCUAUGGUAUAGCUUCAAAACACUACACAUUUAUACAAAUACAUUACACACAUAAAAAUAAAGGUUCUUUAUUGGCAUCGAUGGUUCCAUGAAGAAUAUUUUAACAUCUAUGGAACCUUUUUAUUCCACAAAAAGUUCUUUAUAAUGGAAAAAGGUUCUUUAGAUUAUUAAAAUGUUCUUUAGACUGAUUCUGUUGUUCUGCUGUUCCCUUUUGCAACCUUUAUUUUUCAGAGUGUUGAUUUGGAAUGUGCUUCUAAAUGUCUCCUGAUAAUCAAAGAUGAUUUAGACAGAUAUACAGAUCACAUUUAUUCAUCAAAAUACAUUUCUGCUUUUAAAACUUCUCAUACCCCUGACAUCUAACUUUCAGUGUAAGUGCAUUACUGUGAACUUGUUUUCUGUCCAUUUAUAUAAACAGAGGGAUGAGUCGAAAUGGGUUGCUUACGUAAUCGACAGCAUACCACAGAUAAUGUAGAGCUUAAGUUGUAUUUAACAUAAAAUGAGCCUUUAUAAAUCCACUGGUUUUUCAAGAUUCCUUUCUUGCCGUUUCUAGAACACUAUAACCGUAAACAUGUCCCUGAAUGAUCCCAUAAUUCAUUAGUGAUGAUUUGAUCGCUCAUGUAAGUAAUUAAGUUAAUACUUGAUGAUGACUGUGACACACCCACAUUCAGAAGAAGAGCAUCUCAAAUCCACCCGUUCAUGUCAAAUUGGUGUUUCAUAAAAGAAAAUGAGUCACGGUGUCUGAUUCUCACAAUUGCUUUUGAAUUUACAAAAUUACAAAUUAAUUCACCUUUGAUUUCAUGUCACGUCAAGAUCUUAAAUGCAGAAAACAAUUUACUUAAUCAUUAUUUUGUUAUUGUUUUCCAGUAAAAAUAUCCUUAAAACAAGAAAUAUUUUAUUUUCUGAUGCAAAAUUCAAUAAGAUGAUAAGGAAAUUAUAAUCCAUGUAUAUAAAUAUCCAAUCUAAAAAUCUAUUUUCUAAAACAAAUUGUAUGAAAUUUACCUUAUUUCUUACCAUAAUAAGUUAAAGUUUGAAGCAUACUGUACAUUUUUCCAGUUUUGAAAGGGCAACUUCCAAUUUCCACUUCCAUUCGAUCAUCUCUUUAUUAAAACCAGACAUUAAAAUACAUUAUUAAAUUUAAAUUUAAAUUGUGUGUGUGUGUUCUAAAUAUAGACAUAAAACAUAAUUUAUAAAAUACCAUUUUA
ensembl:lncRNA